rnacentral:rRNA from 1 species
UACAGAGGUCUCAAGCGUUGUUCGGAUUCAUUGGGCGUAAAGGGUGCGUAGGCGGCGCGGUAAGUCGGGUGUUAAAUCUCGGGGCUUAACUCCGAAACUGCAUUCGAUACUGCCGUGCUUGAGGACUGGAGAGGAGACUGGAAUUUACGGUGUAGCGGUGAAAUGCGUAGAUAUCGUAAGGAAGACCAGUGGCGAAGGCGGGUCUCUGGACAGUUCCUGACGCUGAGGCACGAAGGUCAGGGGAGCAAACGGG